rnacentral:tRNA from 1 species
AGUUUCGUAGCUCAAUGGUUAGAUGCACCGAACUUUUAAUUCGGUGGUUGUGAGUUCGAGUCUCACCGGAACUA